UACGUAGGGUGCAAGCGUUGUCCGGAAUUAUUGGGCGUAAAGAGCGCGCAGGCGGUCGUUCAAGUCGAGUGUGAAAGCCCCCGGCUCAACUGGGGAGGGUCACUCGAUACUGAUCGACUCGAAGGCAGGAGAGGGAAGCGGAAUUCCCGGUGUAGUGGUGAAAUGCGUAGAUAUCGGGAGGAACACCAGUGGCGAAGGCGGCUUUCUGGCCUGUUCUUGACGCUGAGGCGCGAAAGCUAGGGUAGCAAACGGG
rnacentral:rRNA from 1 species